AGGGUGCCUAGAGAGGAUUGAGUCUAGUUUCGAGAGUUAUACUUAUGAGAGUAUUUACUUUUUGUGAUUAGGCGGAGGCUAGAUCAUACUUCUACCGAGUCAGAGAUUUACCGAGACAUCUGAGGUGAGUCUUCUCACUAUACUUUACCUAGUGUGGUAACACAGUUAUGUGACAGAGUAUUUUAGAGUUAUAUGCCAGUGUAUUUGCAUGUUAUUAUGUAAAAAGAGUUUGAGACAAACAGAGCAAAGCUGUGUGUACGAUCAGCCAGCGCCCGAAUGGUGAUUUCCCAAAAUACCCUUACGAUAAGUGUUAUCAGAUAUGUUAUGUUAUGUUAUAUGAUGAAUUAUGAUAUGAAUGCUAGAGUAGACUAGGUAUUCUUAUUAGGACUAGAGUGGCCUGAUAUAUGAUGCCUUAGUCGAGGGGUUUUUGCUGCUAGUAAUGCUUGAGAGUGUUUAGAUAGCAACGAGGUGCUUAUGAGUUAUCUGCUAGUGAGUAGCACAUGAUUAAGAGAGUAGAGUGCUUGGAAUUUGGGACUCUAGGAGGAGGACUUGGAAUGAAUGUUGAGUCGGUGUAAUCGGUAGUAUUGGGCUCGUACUACCGAAGGCACCGGGUCAGUGCGCAACCCAAGUAAGAAUCCUUAGGGUACCAGGAACCAAGUAGGAUUGGGGGUAUCGAGUGUGUGCAUGCUCGAGCGAGUCUUUGAUAUCUUGUGUUGUAUUUCAGAGAGGUAUCAUGGUGGGAACGCGCCACAGACCAGGGACCAGUGGAGGGGGUGUGAGUGACGAGGAGCUCCGCCAGAUGAUUCAUGAUGAGGUGGCUGCUGCCAUCCGCGUUGAGAUCCCAGAGAUGUUCGGGUCUAUCAAGACCACCCUGAUAGAGACAUUUGACGAGAGAUACACUGCUCUUUCUGAUGCGGCUGUUGUGGUGGCCACCGCAGCUGUAGCUGCAGCUAGACCGCAAGGUGGUGAUGCGUUGCUGUUCCGGGAGUUCAGCAACACAAAACCACCGGAGUUUGGUGGGACCCAGGACCCGAUUGCAGUGAUGAGGUGGACUUCAGACAUGGAGGGGUGUUUCUUUACUUGCUCAUCUCCUGAGCAUUUGAGAGUCCGGUUCACGCUGAAACAACUUCGCUUGGGAGUGAAGGACUGGUGGAAGUUUGUGACGAGGCACUACACGCCUGCUGAGCUGGCUGCAGUAACCUGGGAGAGGUUCACUGCUAUGUUUUGAGACUAGUACGUUCCCCAGGUGGAAAGGGAGUGAUUGGCACAGGAGUCUCUGAUCGUCAAGUAGGGUACCGAGUCUGUUACGGCGAUUACUCAGAUGUUCCAUGAGAGGGCGAUGUUCUGCCCAGAGCACGUGUCCUCCGAGUAGGCACGUAUGAGCCGAUAUCUGAGCAUUUUGAGGAGGGAUAUACGGGAGUUCGUGGUGAACUCAACGUACCGGACAUUUGCUGAGCUUUAGGAAAAUGCUCGGAAGAGGGAGAUAGAGCUGGAGACUCAGGCUAGGGAGGAGGCUGAGUCUCAGGGGAGGGAUCGGCGACCGGCGCAGUCUCAACCGGCAGCCAAGCGGGCCAAGCCCGCUUAUUCGAGAUCUGGGAGUCAGAAUGGCCGUACUUGUGGUAAGUGCGGCAAGAACCACGAUGGGGUGUGCAGAGCAGGAUCUUGCUACAAAUGUGGCAAGGAGGGGCAUAUGGCCAAGGAUUGCCCCAAGGGGUUUGCAGUAUGUUUCCACUGCAACCAGACCGGACACCGCAAGGCAGAGUGUCCACAGUUGCGAGGGAUAGCCCAGGGAGCACCUCAAGGAUCUUCCCCUGCUGCUAUCUGAGCUGCUGAGAGCCGGCCGGUGAAGGCCGAGGUACCGAAGGCACGAGGGAGAGCCUUUCAGUUGACUGCGGAGGAGGUCCGUGCUGCGCCCGAUGUCGUGGCUGGUAUGUAACCUUUCUUGUAUUUAUUUCGAUGUUGGGAUAUUGUGUUUAUUUCGUGUUAUGCGUAGGUACUUUUCUUGUGAAUUUUGUACCUGCCUUGGUGUUAUUUGACUCGGGUGCGAGUCGGUCUUUUGUAUCUUUGGUUUUUAGUCAGCACAUCAGUAUUGUCCGAGAGGUGUUGAGUCGGCCUCUGAGAGUUUCCAUAGCUGAAGAGAGGACGGUGUAUACCGCCGUGGUGAUUCGAGGAUGUGUACUCGAGAUUUUCGGCGUUGAGUUCCCGAUUGAUUUAGUUCCCAUUGCGAUGGGAGAUGUCUGUGUCAUCGUGGGCAUGGACUGGUUGAGCAAAGUUGGAGCGGUCAUCGACUGCGAGAGACAACUGGUGGCUAUACAAGACCCCAGUGGGGGAGUUCUUACGGUGUAUGGCGAGGGUACACGUGCUGGGUCAGCAUUCCGUUCGGCCGCCAGAGUGAGACAGAGUCUACAGCAGGGUUGUAGGGGAUUUGUAGCAUAUGCGAUGGAUGCGAGGGUUGAUUCAGAGAGACCAAUGUCAACUGAUGAGGUUCCGAUAGUGCUCGAGUUUUCAGAUGUAUUUCCGGAAGAGUUGCCUAGUGUGCCUCCCGAGAGGCAGGUUGAGUUCAGUAUUGAUUUGGUUCCGGGGGCUGCGCCUAUCGCCAAGGCGCCUUAUCACCUCGCGCCUCCAGAGAUGCAGGAGUUGUCCUCACAGCUUCAGGAGCUGCUGGGGAAAGGGUUUAUUCGGCGAAGCCGCUCACCUUGGGGAGCGCCUAUCCUUUUUGUCAAGAAGAAGGAUGGUUCAUACCGGAUGUGCAUUGAUUACCGGGAGUUGAACAAGCUAACGGUUAAGAACCGUUACCCAUUGCCGAGGAUCGACGAUCUGUUCGAUCAGUUGCAGGGAGCAUCUUGGUUCUCCAAGAUCGAUUUGGUCUGGAUAUCACCAGGUGAGAGUGCGAGACGAGGACAUCCAGAAGACAACAUUCAGGAAUCGUUAUGGACAUUACAAGUUUGUGGUGAUGCCUUUCGUACUCACCAAUGCACCGACGGUGUUCAUGGAUCUCAUGAAAAGAGUGUGCAGGCCGAUGUGGGAUCGCUCGGUGAUCGUGUUCAUCGACGACAUAUUGGUGUAUUCGAGAUCCGGAGAGAAGCAUGAGGAGCAUUUGAGGGAGAUCCUCGGAGUCCUGAGAUCCGAGAGGCUUUAUGCCAAAUUCUCCAAGUGUGAUUUUUGGUUGCGAGAGGUCCAGUUCAUAGGGCACCUCAUUAACCAGAAAGGGAUAUUGGUCGACCUAGCCAAGAUUGAGGCAGUGAUGAGUUGGGAGGUGCCGAGGACACCUACCGAGAUCAGGAGUUUCCUAGGGUUGGUUGGUUAUUAUCGGAGAUUUAUCAGGGAUUUCUCCAAGAUCGUCGUUCCACUCACCAAGUUGACCCGGAAUGGUGUUGCUUUUUCAUGGGGUCCAGAGCAGCAUGCCUCCUUCAAGACACUUCGCCAGAGAUUAUGCGAAGCUUCGGUGUUAGCCCUUCCGGAGGGGAUGGAGGACUUCGUAGUGUAUUGUGACGUGUCGAUAUCUGGGCUGGGAGCGGUGCUUAUGUAAAGGGGUCAUGUGAUAGCAUACACAUCGAGGCAGCUGAAGCCUCAUGAGGCUAGGUAUCCCACCCACGAUCUGGAGUUGGGGGCGGUGGUGUUCGCCCUCAAGAUCUGGCGUCACUAUCUGUAUGGGGUUCGGUGUACCAUAUACACGUACCACAAGAGCCUGAAGUACCUAAUGGAUCAGCCCAACCUGAAUAUGCACCAGAGGAGAUGGUUGGAUGUGGUGAAGGAUUUCGAUUGUGAGAUCCUAUACCACUCGGGCAAGGCUAAUGUUAUAGCCGGUGCACUGAGCCGUAGGGCGGAGGGCGCCUUGAUGCGAGAUGUUUGUUUGAGAUUGACAGUGAUGACUCCGGUGUUGGACACUAUUCGUGGGGCCCAGGCUGAGGCCGUGAGGCCAGAAAGCCAGAAGAGAGAGCGAGUUGUCGGGCCAGUAUCGAAAUUCGUUACCGAUAGCCGGGGACAUAUGACAUUUCAGGGUCGGAUAUGGGUACCGUUUGUGGGCGGGACACGUACCAUUUUGAUGGAAGAGGCUCAUCGAUCGAAGUUCUCGAUCCAUCCCGGAACCACUAAGAUGUAUUUGGACCUGAAGAGGGAGUAUUGGUGACCUAGAAUGAAGAGGGAUGUCGUAUGGUUUGUAGAAAGAUGCUUGACCUGUCGCCGGGUUAAGGCCGAGCACCAGCGUCCACAUGGUAAACUACAGCCGUUAGAGAUUCCCGAGUGGAAAUGGAAACAAAUUACCAUGGACUUCAUCACCAAAUUGCCAAGGACUACGAGAGGUGUCGAUACAAUUUGGGUGAUUGUGGACAGGUUGACGAAGAGCGCUCAUUUCCUUGCUAUCAGUGAGAGCUCUUCCGCGGAGAGGUUGGCAGAUAUGUACGUGAGAGAGGUGGUAUCACGGCAUGGAGUGCCGAUCUCGAUUAUCUCAGAUCGAGAUGUACAUUUCACUUCCAGAUUCUGGAAGAAGUUUCAUGAGGAAUUGGGUACGAGACUACAUUUUAGUACCGCAUACCACCCACAGACUGACGGGCAGAGUAAGCGGACGAUUCAGAUGCUUGAGGACAUGCUCUGAGCAUGUGUGUUGGAUUUCGGCGGAAGUUGGGACACGUACUUGCCCUUGGCAGAGUUUUCCUACAACAACAUCCAUCAUUCGAGCAUUGGUAUGCCACCCUUUGAGUUGUUGUAUGGGAGGAGGUGUUAGACCCCCAUUUGCUGGGGAGAGGUAGGGUAUCGUGUGAUGGGUAGUACCGAGAUCGUGCUUCAGAAGACAGAGCAGAUUCAGCAGGUCAGACAGAGGUUGUUGACCGCUCAGAGUCGUCAGAAGAGUUAUGCGGACAGGCGCCGGUCCGAGCUCGAGUUUCAGGUCGGUGACUUCGUGCUCCUGAAGGUCUCUCCUUGGAAAAGAGUGAUUCGAUUCAGGAAGAGGGGCAAGUUGGGGCCCCGAUAUAUUGGUCCUUUCAGAGUGAUCGCGAGGGUAGGCAAGGUAGCCUACCGUUUGGAGUUACCUGCCGAGUUGGGUCAGAUUCAUGACACUUUCCACGUGUCGCAGCCAAGAAAGUGUAUAGCCGACGAGUCGGCAGUGGUGUCAUUAGAGGAUAUUCAGGUGGAUGUGAGCCUAAAAUAUAUUGAGAGACUGGUGGCGAUUAGGGAUCGUAAGAUCAAGGUUUUGAGGAACAAGGAGGUGCCUCUGGUGCAGGUCCAGUGGCAGCAUCGGAAAGGGUCAGAGUUAACUUGGGAGCCGGAGCGUGAGAUGCGGGAGCAGCAUCCAGAGUUGUUUGCAGAGUGAGACUUCACGGGCGAAGUCUAAUUCUAGUUGGGGAGAAUUGUAACACCCGGAUUCCUAGGUAUAUUAAUUAUUCCUUUAUUUUUGGAGGUUGGGAGGGGACUCGGCGAGUUAGUGUUCAGACUCGCCGAGUAUGGUCGCGGAAUCGUAUCCGGGUUCACUGCUGGACUCGACGAGUUCAUGAGUGGACUCGGCGAGUCCACGCUGUUUAAUGAAACCCUAAUUUCCUGGGUUUGGGACCUAUUUAAAGGCCCUUAGGGUCGUCAUUUGCGGCUACCAAACCCCAGAGAGAAACCUUAAGAGAUAUAGAGCGUUUGUGAGGAAGGAGAGGCCAUUCUUGAUCAUUUUGUUGGUGUAAUAGCAAGAAGGAGGUGACCAAGGCAAGAGGAGGCUGAAGGAGGUGCGAUUCUGGUGAUUUCAGAGUUCAGAGACUUCAUCUUGAGGUAUUUAUUCGGACCUUCUUCAUAUUUGGUGUUGAUUCUUAGAGUUAGGGUUUUCUAACCCCUUUAGAGGAUAAAUAUGUGGAGCAAUUGGUCCCUUAUCGAGUUUAUGCUUUGGAUCUGGACUCAAAGAGGUUCAGAGACCUUAACCCUUGGAGCUUUAUGAGUUAUUUUAGGAGCCAGGAACUUAGGAGGUUAUUUUUGGGGCUAAAUCACCAAGUGAGACCAUCUAGAUGUUAUAUGAGUGUCAAGGUCUGAACUUUACGUGAUUAUCAUGCUUGGGAAGGUCAGAUCUAUGGAUUAAAGGAACAGAUCUGACCUCAAGAGGUCUAUGGAGCUUGUGCAUGGCAUGAACUCGCCGAGUCCAAAGAUCAGACUCGGCGAGUAGGGUUAGGGUUUCCCGUAAAACACUCAGUGAGUAGACUUGCCGAGUUGGGGAAAUAACUCAGUGAUUCAGAGGUGGAUUAGGGGACUGGAGUUCAAGGCGGAACUUAUCGAGUUGUUCUUGAGACUCGGCGAGUUGAGUCNACUCGACGUACCAAGCGGGACUAAAGAGUUAGUGGAUACGUGUAGACUCGCCGAGUCGCCCAAGUGCACGCGAGGAGUCGGGUCAAAGUUUGACCAUCGAAUUUUGUUGACUUUUAGGGUUUGGUCAACAAUGUGGCCUUUGAGCUAAAAGAGGGGUAAAAUGGUCUUUUGCCUGCCGAGGGUGCCUAGAGAGGGUUGAGUCUAGUCUCGAAAGUUAUAUUUAUGAGAAUAUUUACUUUAUGUGAUUAGGCAGAGGCUAGAUCAUACUUCUACCGAGUCAGAGAUUUACCGAGACAUCUGAGGUGAGUCUUCUCACUAUACUUUACCUAGUGUGGUAACACAGUUAUGUGACAGAGUAUUUUAGAGUUAUAUGCCAGUGUAUUUGCAUGUUAUUAUGUGUUGUAAUUUAUUGUGAUAUG
rnacentral:lncRNA from 1 species